rnacentral:precursor_RNA from 1 species
CAGUCGGCUGAUAGCUGGGGCUCAGCUCACAGUCCAAGCUAUCAGCUGAUCUAGC